rnacentral:rRNA from 1 species
CCUACGGGAGGCAGCAGUGGGGAAUAUUGCACAAUGGGGGAAACCCUGAUGCAGCGACGCCGCGUGAGUGAAGAAGUAUUUCGGUAUGUAAAGCUCUAUCAGCAGGGAAGAAAUAGCGACCUUUGGGUCGCCAGACGGUACCUGAUUAAGAAGCCCCGGCUAACUACGUGCCAGCAGCCCCGGUAAUACGUAGGGGGCAAGCGUUAUCCGGAUUUACUGGGUGUAAAGGGAGCGUAGACGGCAGCGCAAGUCUGAAGUGAAAUGCCGGGGCUUAACCCCGGAACUGCUUUGGAAGUUGUGCAGCGAGAGUGCAGGAGAGGUAAGUGGAAUUCCUGGUGUAGCGGUGAAAUGCGUAGAUAUUAGGAGGAACACCAGUGGCGAAGGCGGCUUACUGGACUGUAACUGACGUUGAGGCUCGAAAGCGUGGGGAGCAAACAGGAUUAGAUACCCGGGUAGUC